rnacentral:rRNA from 1 species
GAGUUUGAUCUUGGCUCAGAAUCAACGCUGGCGGCGCGCUUAACACAUGCAAGUCGAACGAGAAAGGGAGCAAUCCUGAGUAAAGUGGCGUACGGGUGAGUAACACGUGGGUAAUCUACCCUCUGGUGGGGAAUAACUUUGGGAAACCGAAGCUAAUACCGCAUAAGACCGGAAGGUGAAAGGCGCAAGUCGCCGGAGGAAGAGCCCGCGGCUGAUUAGCUAGUUGGUAGGGUAAGAGCCUACCAAGGCUGAGAUCGGUAGCCGGCCUGAGAGGGCACACGGCCACACUGGCACUGAAACACGGGCCAGACUCCUACGGGAGGCAGCAGUGGGGAAUCUUGCACAAUGGGGGCAACCCUGAUGCAGCGACGCCGCGUGAGUGAUGAAGCCCUUCGGGGUGUAAAGCUCUUUCGGCAGGGACGAUAAUGACGGUACCUGAAGAAGAAGCUGCGGCUAACUACGUGCCAGCAGCCGCCGUAAG